rnacentral:snRNA from 1 species
GUGCUCACUUCAGAAGCACAUACACUAAAACUGGAAUGAUACAGAGAAUAAUACGGCCUCUGUGCAAGGAUGACAUGCAAAUUUGUGAAGUGUUCCAUAUUUUU